AUUGAACGCUGGCGGCAUGCCUAACACAUGCAAGUCGAACGAGUGGCGGACGGGUGAGUAAUGUCUGGGAAACUGCCCGAUGGAGGGGGAUCACUACUGGAAACGGUCGCUAAUACCGCAUACCCUCCAAUGUGCCUAGAUGGGAUUGGCUUGUUGGUGGGGUAACGGCUCACCAAGGCGACGACCCCUCGCUGGUCUGAGGGGAGGCCCACCCAAACGGGAACUGAGCAAGGGUCAAGACCCUUAGGGGAGGAGGCAGUGGGGAAUAUUGCACAAGGGGCGAAGUCCGGAUGCAGACAGGCCGCUUGUAUGAGGAGGGCCUCCGGGUUGUAAGGUACUUUCAGCGGGGAGGCGGUACCCGAAGAAGAAGCACCGGCUAACUCCGUGCCAGCAGCCGCGGUAAUUC
rnacentral:rRNA from 1 species